rnacentral:rRNA from 2 species
AAAUUGAAGAGUUUGAUCAUGGCUCAGAUUGAACGCUGGCGGCAGGCCUAACACAUGCAAGUCGAACGGUAACAGGAAGCAGCUUGCUGCUUUGCUGACGAGUGGCGGACGGGUGAGUAAUGUCUGGGAAACUGCCUGAUGGAGGGGGAUAACUACUGGAAACGGUGGCUAAUACCGCAUAACGUCGCAAGACCAAAGAGGGGGACCUUCGGGCCUCUUGCCAUCAGAUGUGCCCAGAUGGGAUUAGCUUGUUGGUGAGGUAACGGCUCACCAAGGCGACGAUCCCUAGCUGGUCUGAGAGGAUGACCAGCCACACUGGAACUGAGACACGGUCCAGACUCCUACGGGAGGCAGCAGUGGGGAAUAUUGCACAAUGGGCGCAAGCCUGAUGCAGCCAUGCCGCGUGUAUGAAGAAGGCCUUCGGGUUGUAAAGUACUUUCAGCGGGGAGGAAGGUGUUGUGGUUAAUAACCGCAGCAAUUGACGUUACCCGCAGAAGAAGCACCGGCUAACUCCGUGCCAGCAGCCGCGGUAAUACGGAGGGUGCAAGCGUUAAUCGGAAUUACUGGGCGUAAAGCGCACGCAGGCGGUCUGUCAAGUCGGAUGUGAAAUCCCCGGGCUCAACCUGGGAACUGCAUUCGAAACUGGCAGGCUUGAGUCUUGUAGAGGGGGGUAGAAUUCCAGGUGUAGCGGUGAAAUGCGUAGAGAUCUGGAGGAAUACCGGUGGCGAAGGCGGCCCCCUGGACAAAGACUGACGCUCAGGUGCGAAAGCGUGGGGAGCAAACAGGAUUAGAUACCCUGGUAGUCCACGCCGUAAACGAUGUCUACUUGGAGGUUGUGCCCUUGAGGCGUGGCUUCCGGAGCUAACGCGUUAAGUAGACCGCCUGGGGAGUACGGCCGCAAGGUUAAAACUCAAAUGAAUUGACGGGGGCCCGCACAAGCGGUGGAGCAUGUGGUUUAAUUCGAUGCAACGCGAAGAACCUUACCUGGUCUUGACAUCCACAGAAGAAUCCAGAGAUGGAUUUGUGCCUUCGGGAACUGUGAGACAGGUGCUGCAUGGCUGUCGUCAGCUCGUGUUGUGAAAUGUUGGGUUAAGUCCCGCAACGAGCGCAACCCUUAUCCUUUGUUGCCAGCGAUUAGGUCGGGAACUCAAAGGAGACUGCCAGUGAUAAACUGGAGGAAGGUGGGGAUGACGUCAAGUCAUCAUGGCCCUUACGACCAGGGCUACACACGUGCUACAAUGGCGCAUACAAAGAGAAGCGACCUCGCGAGAGCAAGCGGACCUCAUAAAGUGCGUCGUAGUCCGGAUUGGAGUCUGCAACUCGACUCCAUGAAGUCGGAAUCGCUAGUAAUCGUGGAUCAGAAUGCCACGGUGAAUACGUUCCCGGGCCUUGUACACACCGCCCGUCACACCAUGGGAGUGGGUUGCAAAAGAAGUAGGUAGCUUAACCUUCGGGAGGGCGCUUACCACUUUGUGAUUCAUGACUGGGGUGAAGUCGUAACAAGGUAACCGUAGGGGAACCUGCGGUUGGAUCACCUCCUUACCUGAAAGAA